rnacentral:rRNA from 1 species
AGUGAACGCUGUCGGUAGGCCUAACACAUGCAAGUCGAACGGCAGCACAGUAAGAGCUUGCUCUUACGGGUGGCGAGUGGCGGACGGGUGAGGAAUACAUCGGAAUCUACUUUUUCGUGGGGGAUAACGGAGGGAAACUUACGCUAAUACCGCAUAUGACCUACGGGUGAAAGCAGUGGAUCUUCGGACCUUGCGCGAUUGAAUGAGCCGAUGUCGGAUUAGCUAGUUGGCGGGGUAAAGGCCCACCAAGGCGACGAUCCGUAGCUGGUCUGAGAGGAUGAUCAGCCACACUGGAACUGAGACACGGUCCAGACUCCUACGGGAGGCAGCAGUGGGGAAUAUUGGACAAUGGGCGCAAGCCUGAUCCAGCCAUACCGCGUGGGUGAAGAAGGCCUUCGGGUUGUAAAGCCCUUUUGUUGGGAAAGAAAAGCAGCAGGUUAAUACCCCGCUGUUCUGACGGUACCCAAAGAAUAAGCCCCGGCUAACUUCGUG